rnacentral:ncRNA from 1 species
ACACCACCACCUUCCUACAACGGAUCGUCCGGCACGUUCCUGCCGGUAGAAGGGGGCCCUU